UACGUAGGCAGCGAGCGUUGUUCGGAGUUACUGGGCGUAAAGAGUGCGUAGGCGGUUUUCUAAGUUUGGUGUGAAAUCUCCCGGCUUAACUGGGAGGGUGCGCCGAAAACUGGAAGGCUUGAGUAUGGGAGAGGUAAGCGGAAUUCCUGGUGUAGCGGUGAAAUGCGUAGAUAUCAGGAGGAACACCUGCGGUGUAGACGGCUUACUGGACCAUAACUGACGCUGGAGGUGCGAAAGCGUGGGGAGCAAACAGG
rnacentral:rRNA from 1 species